rnacentral:rRNA from 1 species
CCUACGUGUGGCAACAGUGAGGAAUAUUGGUCAAUGGGCGCGAGCCUGAACCAGCCAAGUAGCGUGAAGGAUGACUGCCCUACGGGUUGUAAACUUCUUUUAUAAAGGAAUAAAGUGAGGCACGUGUGCCUUUUUGUAUGUACUUUAUGAAUAAGGAUCGGCUAACUCCGUGCCAGCAGCGUCGGUAAUACGGAGGAUCCGAGCGUUAUCCGGAUUUAUUGGGUUUAAAGGGAGCGUAGAUGGGUUGUUAAGUCAGUUGUGAAAGUUUGCGGCUCAACCGUAAAAUUGCAAUUGAUACUGGCAGUCUUGAGUACAGUUGAGGUAGGCGGAAUUCGUGGUGUAGCGGUGAAAUGCUUAGAUAUCACGAAGAACUCCGAUUGCGAAGGCAGCUUACUAAACUGCCACUGACAUUGAUGCUCGAAAGUGUGGGUAUCAAACAGGAUUAGAUACCCCGGUAGUC